rnacentral:rRNA from 1 species
UGGGGAAUCUUGGACAAUGGGGGCAACCCUGAUCCAGCGACGCCGCGUGGGUGGUAAGGCCUUCGGGUUGUAAAGCCCUUUCACCGGGGAAGAUGAUGACAUUACCCGGAGACGAAGCGCCGGCUAACUCCGUGCCAGCAGCCGCGGUAAGUCGGAGGGCGCUAGCGUUGUGCGGAAUCACUGGGCGUAAAGGGCGCGUAGGCGGCUGUUUGAGUCGAGGGUGAAAGCCCGGGGCUCAACCCCGGAACGGCCUUCGAGACUGGGCAGCUCGAGUCCGGAAGAGGGUCGCGGAAUUCCCAGUGUAGAGGUGAAAUUCGUAGAUAUUGGGAAGAACACCGGUGGCGAAGGCGGCGACCUGGUCCGGUACUGACGCUGAGGCGCGAAAGCGUGGGGAGCAAACAGGAUUAGAUACCCCGGUAGUCC